rnacentral:ncRNA from 2 species
GGUUAUGAGUGUCAGCGUCAAGCCCUGGCUUGCUGACCGGCAACCCUCCUACGCGGUGGGGUGCUCCAGGUGAUGACCCGGUACGUCCGACCGGACGUGCAAGCGCGAUGU